UUACAUCUGUGCCCUCUUUAUUCCCUUUCUACUUCUCCUGCCUCAUCUCAUAUUUGAUCAUGUAUCUUUCUUGCUAGAAUCCCCCUGCUGUGUCUUCCUGCCUCUUUUCUGGCACCGCUCUCCUGGUGUUCGCACUCGGUGAGGACAUAGUUAGAAUUGUAAACAUGGCCACAGAUUGGAUAUGGGAGUCAAAUGCGAAGAGGAGGUCAUAUUCACUCCAAGGACUGCAGACCAGUGGGAGUAGCAGGGUCUGGGAGAGACAGCAGCUGUGGUAUAAGGAGGUGCCCUGGCCACUGGAGAGAGAUUUCUGGAGUCAUCUAGGAGUUUUGCUGAGAACCAAAAGCCCUGGGGAAGAAGAGGUGAGAAGAAGCAAAAAUGAAGCUCCAGCAAGUAGUCUUAAAAGGCUACAGACAUGGAACACUGGUUUUGCUUAUUUAUCUCCAUACAGCAGCUGGUCCUGUCUUAGGCUGGUGGUCUUUCAUGCCACACAGUCAUGCAUAUUUUCACUGUGAAUGUUCAAUAAAUAUUUAAGAAAUAAUAACUGAUCA
ensembl:lncRNA